AUUUGAGCCUGAUUAGUUGAACAAUCAGUAGGCCUGAUUAGUUUAAAAAUUCUCUUUUGUAAGGAGAAAAAUAUUUUGAGGUGUUCCAGAGGCCCACUGUGUUACCUGCCACGUUGACUGAAAUGGCAGCAGUUGCCGGAGAAGUUGGACCUCAGUUCCUAAGUUCGGCAAAGAAAGAGUUCAGAGACAAGAACUCAAAUUAUAGGAGAAAGUUUAUUUAGAAAGUUCCAGAGGUAGUAAACGGGAGCCCUAGAAGAAAUGGGCUAAGGAAACUAGUUAUAGAGGCAAAAGAAGGGGCCCUGGGAGCUUAAAAAUGUACACUCAGAAGAUUUGAGUAGACGUGCUCUGGGGAGAGAGGGAGGGUCACCCUGGUUUUUGAUUUCAGAGGUUUGAGUAUCUCCGUUUAGGGGAAUUACCUGUGAAUUAGGUACAAAUUGGGGGCCCCCUGCUGUUUUUGGAUGGAUUCUGAAUGUUGUCCAAGGACUGGACUCUUGUGGUAUUGAUUUUUGAGGACCUUCAAGUGUUUUGCUUCUGGCAUGGUUUAAUUUUAUAGGUUUUCUUUCUCUUGCGUCUUCUCAAAAGCAGAGCUAUUCUUCCAAUUCCCAGUGGCAAGUGGAAACUGUGGUCCAUUAAGACGUUUCUUAUAAAAGAGAAUUUGGAAAAUGUUCUACGUGCCGGGGUUUUUAACCUUUUUUGUACACAGUACUCUUGGCAAUUUGGUGGAGUCUAUGGACUCCUCAGAAUACUGUUUUUUAAAUGUGUAAAAUAAAAGGCACGGUAUUAUAAAGGAGACCAAUUGUGUUUAAAUGCAGUUGUCAAAAUGUUAAAAACAAAAGUCUUUCUAUUUAACUUGUGUUGAGUGUAAAUCCUGUUCCGAAUGAUCUGCAACCACUGUUGCAUAAAGUGUCUGUGAUCUCUGUGGGUCAGCCACAGAUACUGACUGCUGCAGUGGUUUAUUGAAGAAAAUGCUAAAUUUCAGUUAGAGAUUAAUGAGAAAAUAUUUCUGUCCCUCCCACAUUUUGAAAUUUUAGUCCCAAGAGUCCUUUUUUUAAAAUCCAGUGGGAAGAAAAAUUAAGGAUUUGGAGCCGAAUGAUUAUGGGAUUGAGCCUCAUGUUCACUACUUACUACUAUCUACAUACUUUUGCAGCUCUGAGCCUUAACUUCCUCCCUGAUAGGGUAAUAGCACUGUGGAAUUGCAACAUAUUAUAUACCAAGAAUACCUGCAAAAAGCUAGAAUCCCACAGGUACCAUUACUAUCUCCACCUAUUGUCGCAAUGUACUGGUAUUGUCAUUUCGCCAGUUUGAGUGAAGCAUGAAAACCUUACCUCCCUUUCCAUCCCUGUACUCUCUCCUGUUUAUAAUAUAAUUAUUUUAAGUAUUUCCUCUACAGACAUAUAGAACCAUAUUAGACAUUAUUAUGAUUUUUGCUUCAACUGUCAAGCAUACUUUAGACAAUUGAAGAGAAGGAAAGCAUUCAUAUGUAUCCACAUUGUUGCUGUUCUUCCCAAGAUUCCUUCUUUUAUUAAUUCCUUUCUGUUUAGAGUAAAUCCACGGGUAACAAAUUCUCUUAUAUUUGCUUUAUCUUCAUUCCUGAAGGCUGUUUUUUUGGGAGGGGUAUAGGUUCUGGGUAAUAAUUCUUUUUGAUUAGCACCUGAAAAAUUGUGCCACUUCUGGUCUUCAUGGUUUCUGAUGAGAAAUGUGCUAUUUUUCUCAUUGUUCUUCCCCUAUAAGUAAGGUGUUUUUCUCUGUCUGCCUUCAAAAUUUUUUCUUUGUCUUUAAUUUUUAGAAGUUUAAUUAUGAUGUGUCUUGGUGUGGAUUUCUUUGGGUUUUUUCCAUGUUAGUUUUGCUCAGUUCCUUGAAUGUAUGUAUGUGUAGGUUUCUGUCUUGCCAAAUCUGGGAAAUUUUUAGCUGUUAUUUCUUCAAGUACUUUUUCAGCCCCACCCUCCUUGUCCUCUCCUUCUGCACUGUGAUGAUAUGAAUGUUUGAUCUUUUGUCAGAGUCCCACAGGGCCUUGAGGCUCUGCUCAUUUUUUUUUUUAAGUCUAUUUCUCUCUGUUUUGCAAUUGGGUAAUUUUUGUUGUUCUGUAUUCCCAUCCAUUGAUUAUUUCUUCUUCCUUUUCAUCUGCCAUUGAGACCAUCCUCUGAGCUGUUUGUUUUGGCCAUUCUAUUUUUCA